ACAGGUCGCUUCUGCUUUUGCCAAAGCUAGCUUCCCCUUUUCUGGAAACUGCUCCCCCCCCACACACACACACUCUGAGUCCGCAAGGCAGCCUCCCGCUCCCUGGCUGGGCUCUGGGAUGUGCAUCACAAACAGUUCAGUUGUGGGCGAGUUGUUUUUCUCUGAUGUAGAUGUUUCUUUCCAAAGCCUGCUACAAGUGGAAAUUUCCGUAUUCCCCUGUUCAGCAGAAAUUACAGGCUUCAGUUUCAUCAUCACUAUCAAACCAUUAACCAUUAACCCUUGACACCCCGGGGGAGCCCUGGAGGAAACAGCCUGGGGCACAUUCCUGGGGCUGGCGGCUGCGGAGGCUGGGAGGCCCCUUGUGCCAGGAGGACCAGAGGAAAUGGGGCACGAAGAUGACAGGGAUGGAUGUGCCUCAAACCAAGACUUCCCCCUCUGAAUCCAGGCUCUUCCUGAGAACCGUCGCAUUGCUUCCGGCCCCUAAACCACGACAGAAUCCAGGCCCCCUCAUGUCACAGGCACCUGCCUGAGGACACUCAGAUCUUCCACCACAAAACCAAAGCCAAAAUCCUUACCCCAGCUCCCUUCUCAUUCUACGACAUCAUCGUGCUGUGCCCAACUCAGAUCAUAAAGUCCUCCUGUCCCUCUG